GAUGAACGCUGGCGGCGUGCCUAAUACAUGCAAGUCGAGCGAACGGACGAGAAGCUUGCUUCUCUGAUGUUAGCGGCGGACGGGUGAGUAACACGUGGAUAACCUACCUAUAAGACUGGGAUAACUUCGGGAAACCGGAGCUAAUACCGGAUGAUAUUUUGAACCGCAUGGUUCAAAAGUGAAAGACGGUCUUGUUGUCACUUAUAGAUGGAUCCGCGCUGCAUUAGCUAGUUGGUAAGGUAACGGCUUACCAAGGCAACGAUGCAUAGCCGACCUGAGAGGCUGAUCGGCCACACUGGAACUGAGACACGGUCCAGACUCCUACGGGAGGCAGCAGUAGGGAAUCUUCCGCAAUGGGCGAGAGCCUGACGGAGCAACGCCGCGUGAGUGAUGAAGGUCUUCGGAUCGUAAAACUCUGUUAUUAGGGAAGAACAUAUGUGUAAGUAACUGUGCACAUCUUGACGGUACCUAAUCAGAAGGCCACGGCUAACUACGUG
rnacentral:rRNA from 1 species